GAUGAAGAACGUAGCGAAAUGCGAUAAGUAAUGUGAAUUGCAGAAUUCAGUGAAUCAUCGAAUCUUUGAACGCACAUUGCGCCCGCCAGUAUUCUGGCGGGCAUGCCUGUCCGAGCGUCAUUUCAACCCUCGAACCCCUCCGGGGGGUCGGCGUUGGGGAUCGGCCCUUUCACCGGGUGCCGGCCCCUAAAUACAGUGGCGGUCUCGCCGCAGCCUCUCAUGCGCAGUAGUUUGCACACUCGCACCGGGAGCGCGGCGCGUCCACGUCCGUAAAACACCCCAACUUCUGAAAUGUUGACCUCGGAUCAGGUAGGAAUACCCGCUGAACUUAAGCAUAUCAAUAAGCGGAGG
rnacentral:misc_RNA from 1 species